AAAAGGAUGAAGGGAUGAGAGACAAGGGAACGCUAGAUUGGACUCCGUGGUCGCAACGCAUCGAGUGUUUACCACCAGAGAUGUAUAAAAGUUCCUAACGGAGACCAUCACACCACCUUUGGGCAGAAUUUCAAGCGAUAAAUGACUCCUUAGAAAAGAACUUUUUACCACUCAUGCGAAUAGAAAAGUUUUUCCUUUUUGUCGAAGCAACAGGAAAGUAAAAACUUACGAGGUACGAAAGAUCGCAAAGAAGAAAAGAUUUCUGAUAGCAAAGGUGCUAAAAUGGGGAUGAACGAGUAUUGGUGUCUCUUCUCAAAUGUUCUCGAUAAUUCUAUCAUAAAGUUUCAUCUACUUUCUCGCAUUGUUUUAGAGGAAAAGAAGAGAAGAGAAAAGAAGAGAAAUAAAUAACUAACUCAAUAAAAAGUCAUCCUGACAUGCUUCAGCGUCGAUGGAUUUUAUAUAAUAUAUUAUAAUUUCGUAUUAUAUUUACUUAUAUACCUCUUGAAAAGAUUUAUGCAUAUUGAAAUUUUAUUCUGUCCAUCAUCCGAUAACGAAGUUUCGGAAGUACGUUUAGUUGCUUUUAUAAAAUUUUAUCAAUAAUGAAUCUAUCAACGAUGAA